GGGUAGUCCCCGCUUUUGGGGGUUUGCCCAUUCUGGCGCCAUAUUCACCCAUGUCUUUUGCGUACUACUUGUUUCCUUGGGGGGCUCGCCCGCCAAUUGGACUUUAUUCAAACCUUUUUUCAUUGCAAUCAGCGUCAGCAAAACAAUGUAAUCAAUUACAACUUUCAACAACGGAUCUCUUGGUUCUGGCAUCGAUGAAGAACGCAGCGAAAUGCGAUAAGUAGUGUGAAUUGCAGAAUUCAGUGAAUCAUCGAAUCUUUGAACGCACAUUGCGCCCUUUGGUAUUCCAAAGGGCAUGCCUGUUCGAGCGUCAUUUGUACCCUCAAGCUUUGCUUGGUGUUGGGCGUCUUUUGUCUCUCCCCCGAGACUCGCCUUAAAAACAUUGGCAGCCGGCCUACUGGUUUCGGAGCGCAGCACAUUAUUUGCGCUCUUGUCCAGCCGCGGUCGCGCGUCCAUGAAGCC
rnacentral:rRNA from 1 species